rnacentral:rRNA from 1 species
AGGACGAACGCUGGCGGCGCGCUUAACACAUGCAAGUCGAGCGAGAACCUUUCCUUCGGGAUUGGGGACAGCGGCGAACGGGUGAGUAACACGUGGGUAAUCUGCCCUUGACAUCGGGAUAGCCCGGGGAAACCCGGAUUAAUACCGAAUAGCCUCCGGAGCCCUCGGGCGCCGGAGAAAAGGUAGCUUCGGCCUCUGGUCAAGGAUGAGCCCGCGGCGGAUUAGCUUGUUGGCGGGGUAAUGGCCCACCAAGGCGACGAUCCGUAGCUGGUCUGAGAGGACGAUCAGCCACACUGGGACUGAGACACGGCCCAGACUCCUACGGGAGGCAGCAGUGGGGAAUCUUGCGCAAAUGCGGGAAACCGUGACGCAGCGACGCCGCGUGGGGGAAGAAGGGCCUUCGGGUUGUAAACCUCUUUCAGGAGGGACGAAGCUACUCGGGUUAAUAGCCCAGAGGGUGACGGUACCUUCGAGAAGAAGCCCGGCUAACUACGUGCCAGCAGCCGC